rnacentral:lncRNA from 1 species
UGGGACCUUUCAGAUCCACCUGACUUGGCCAGGCCACCCCUUCUUCCCUUUGUGGUAGUGAUGGGGGGUCUUCACAGGAUACACAGAACCACUGCCCUCUGCUCCUUCCCACUGUUCCUGGGAGCUCUCUCCUCUGCGAGGCUUUCCUGGAACCUGAUUGGCGAAGACCGUUUCUCCUGAGCUAUCACCAUAGAUGGCUAUGAGUCAAGUGCCCCCAUCAACCAUUCCUGCUCUGCCUGGGGGCUUGGAGUCCCUUCUGAUGGAUGAAUGGG